UACGAACCGUCCAAACGUUAUUCGGAAUUAUUGGGCUUAAAGGGUGCGUAGGUGGCGCGGAAAGUUGGGUGUGAAAUCCCUCGGCUCAACCGAGGAAUAGCGCCCAAAACUACCGUGCUUGAGGGAGACAGAGGUAAGCGGAACUGAUGGUGGAGCGGUGAAGUGCGUUGAUAUCAUCAGGAACACCAGUGGCGAAAGCGGCUUACUGGGUCUCUUCUGACGCUGAGGCACGAAAGCUAGGGUAGCGAACGGG
rnacentral:rRNA from 1 species